ACCCUCCGGUUCCCUUUCCCAUCGGAUCAGAACACUGGUCUUGGUGGUCGUACAAGGAGGAAAAGUGAUACUGAAGCUGGCCUCACCGUGUUGUAGUCUGAUAUAGCACUGGGCCAGCGUCAGACAGGG
rnacentral:snoRNA from 14 species